GUGGAUCCCUUUGAUACGAUCUAUCAGCCGAACCAGACUGAAGAGAUGAUGGCAAGUUCGUAUGAUGCUCAAGAGGACUUGGAACAGCCACAGCGACACAGCAUUGCCGCCAGUGACGUCACUGCUGAUGAAACCAACAGGUAUUCUUCCGCUUCUGAUAAAGUGGCACAUUGUACGAGGACUUGUGUGUGUUAUGUCAAUACUGCCGUUUAUGUAUGCUCUCACCUAUUUUAUUUUAACGUUGUAGUGCCAGGUGGCAUUUUAUCGCCAUACCAAAUUUGCCGAUGUGCGACGUGGCGUAUGUCUAGCAAGCCACGAGUGAUUACUAAUUACUGAUAUGGCGUUUCUGGUUCAUUCACA